rnacentral:misc_RNA from 1 species
GAUGAAGAACGUAGCGAAAUGCGAUAAGUAAUGCGAAUUGCAGAAUCCGUGAGUCAUCGAAUCUUUGAACGCACAUUGCGCCCUUUGGUAUUCCUUAGGGCAUGCCUGUUCGAGCGUCAUUUAAACCUUCAAGCUAAGCUUGGUGUUGGGUGACUGUCCGCUUCACGGCGGACUCGCCUCAAAAUUAUUGGCGGCCGGUACAUUGGCUUCGAGCGCAGCAGAAACGCGAACUCGGGCCCGUCGUAUUGGCUCCCAGAAGCUAUCUUCACAAUUUUGACCUCGGAUCAGGUAGGGAUACCCGCUGAACUUAAGCAUAUCAAUGCGGAGGA